UACGUAGGGGGCGAGCGUUGUCCGGAAUUAUUGGGCGUAAAGAGCGUGUAGGCGGUUCGGUAAGUCCGCUGUGAAAGUCGGGGGCUCAACCCUCGGAUGCCGGUGGAUACUGUCGGACUAGAGUACGGAAGAGGCGAGUGGGAUUCCUGGUGUAGCGGUGAAAUGCGCAGAUAUCAGGAGGAACACCGAUUGCGAAGGCAGCUCGCUGGGACGUUACUGACGCUGAGACGCGAAAGCGUGGGGAGCAAACAGG
rnacentral:rRNA from 1 species